GACGAACGCUGGCGGCGUGCCUAAUACAUGCAAGUAGAACGCUGAAGAGAGGAGCUUACUCUUCUUGGAUGAGUUGCGAACGGGUGAGUAACGCGUAGGUAACCUGCCUUGUAGCGGGGGAUAACUAUUGGAAACGAUAGCUAAUACCGCAUAACAAUGGAUGACACAUGUCAUUUAUUUGAAAGGGGCAAUUGCUCCACUACAAGAUGGACCUGCGCUGUAUUAGCUAGUAGGUGAGGUAAUGGCUCACCUAGGCGACGAUACAUAGCCGACCUGAGAGGGUGAUCGGCCACACUGGGACUGAGACACGGCCCAGACUCCUACGGGAGGCAGCAGUAGGGAAUCUUCGGCAAUGGGGGCAACCCUGACCGAGCAACGCCGCGUGAGUGAAGAAGGGUUUCGGAUCGUAAAGCUCUGUUGUAAGUCAAGAACGGGUGUGAGAGUGGAAAGUUCACACUGUGACGGUAGCUUACCAGAAAGGGACGGCUAACUACGUG
rnacentral:rRNA from 1 species